CCAGACUCCUACGGGAGGCAGCAGUAGGGAAUCUUCGGCAAUGGACGGAAGUCUGACCGAGCAACGCCGCGUGAGUGAAGAAGGUUUUCGGAUCGUAAAGCUCUGUUGUUAAGGAAGAACGAGUGUGAGAAUGGAAAGUUCAUACUGUGACGGUACUUAACCAGAAAGGGACGGCUAACUACGUGCCAGCAGCCGCGGUAAUACGUAGGUCCCGAGCGUUGUCCGGAUUUAUUGGGCGUAAAGCGAGCGCAGGCGGUUAGAUAAGUCUGAAGUUAAAGGCAGUGGCUCAACCAUUGUAGGCUUUGGAAACUGUUUAACUUGAGUGCAGAAGGGGAGAGUGGGAUUCCAUGUGUAGCGGUGAAAUGCGUAGAUAUAUGGAGGAACACCGGUGGCGAAAGCGGCUCUCUGGUCUGUAACUGACGCUGAGGCUCGAAAGCGUGGGGAGCGAACAGGAUUAGAUACCCUGGUAGUCCACGCCGUAAACGAUGAGUGCUAGGUGUUAGGUCCUUUCCGGGACUUAGUGCCGCAGCUAACGCAUUAAGCACUCCGCCUGGGGAGUACGACCGCAAGGUUGAAACUCAAAGGAAUUGACGGGGGCCCGCAAAGAAGGGC
rnacentral:rRNA from 1 species